UACGUAGGCAGCGAGCGUUGUUCGGAGUUACUGGGCGUAAAGGGUGUGUAGGCGGUUGGUUAAGUUUGGUGUGAAAUCUCCCGGCUCAACUGGGAGGGUGCGCCGAAUACUGAAUGACUAGAGUGCGGGAGAGGUGAGUGGAAUUCCUGGUGUAGCGGUGAAAUGCGUAGAUAUCAGGAAGAACACCCGUGGCUAAGGCGGCUCUCUAGUACGGUACUGACGCUGAGACGCGAAAGCGUGGGGAGCGAACAGG
rnacentral:rRNA from 1 species